rnacentral:lncRNA from 1 species
AACCAUCCUAAUCAGAUGGAAGUGCCAAGAGAAAAUGUUGCUCUUUGGAAGGAAAGAAAGAAACCAUGUUAAGGAGGGGUGUUAUGCAAUGAAUUUUUAGAUAUUAAAAAAAAUAACAUCUAGACCAUUAAGUUUCUUUGGUUUUGUAGAUAAGUUUGUCAGAUAAGAGUUAGAAUACUCCAACAAUCACUGGACAUUUCUAUAGUAACCUGAGGUAGAAUUUCAAACUUCCAGAGAGAAAGGAAGAGUAACAGCAGCCCAUUUAGACUCAGUGUCCAUCUCUCCUACCUGUGCUUGCCUUCCAGUACCUUUCAUACCUUCUAAAAUGGCCUCUCACUCAUCAGGAGAGUUUGAGGGGUCACGGUUUUUUAGAUCAAACUCUGAAGAUAAAGAAGGAUGGGAACUUAUACUUUUAGGAAUGCUGUCAUUAGAAAAAAAACUUCACAAAUGCCAGGACUUAACUUGAUCAAAUUAAUAAGCUGUUCCUGGGAGAACCUACUGCAUCAGCCAGGCUUUGCCCAUCCAGUGAGACAAAAAUGUGACUUCCUGACUUCUCCAGGAGAGAGAGAAAAGAGG